rnacentral:lncRNA from 1 species
ACACUGGGCAAAAGAGGACACAUUGACAACACACAGAAAAACUAAGAUUGAUAGUCAACCUAAAACCAGAAUCUAGGAGGAACUGGCAUUAAUUAUAAGGGGGUUAGAUCUGGAUUGUGAAACACAUAUCAAGGCUUAAACACAUGGCAUAGUGAAUGAAAUUACCAUUUUUAAUGUAAUAUAUAAAAUACACUCUUCUAAAUGCAAACAUCUUAAAUAUUUUCAACUAAACUUAAACAUAAGUGCUAAAGGGUCACAUUAAAAAAAUAAAAACCUCAGAAUUUUACUCAGGGACUCAAAAUGCUUUUAUAUAAGAAGACUUAUGUAAUGAAUGAGUCUUCCUGCAUGGGAAGUUUCAAUAUUCUAAAGAUGUCAAUUCCCUUCCAACUAUAAAUAUUAGGUACUCCAACUACAGUUACAUCAUAAGAUGUAAUACUAAAGUAUUACAUAAAAAUGUAGAUAUGGCUGGGCACGGUGGCUCACACCCAUAAUGCCAGCACUUUAGGAGGCCAAGGAGGGCAGAUCACUUGAGGUCAGGAGUUACAGACCAGUCUAGCCAACAUGGUGAAACCCUAUCUCUACAAAAAAUACAAAAAUCAGCUGGGCAUGGUGGUGGGCACCUGUGUUCUAGCUACUCGGGAAGCUGAGGCAGAGAAUUGCUUGAACCCAGGAGGCAGAGGUUGCAGUGAGCCGAGAUCGCACCACUGCACUACAGCCUGGGUGACAGAGAGAGACUCCAUCUCAAAAAAGAAAAAAAAAGGUAGAUACGUAUUUACUGGCAGUGACAGAGAUUCACAGUACAUUAUUAAGUAGAAAUUUAAGCUCUGAAACAGUGUACAUGCAUUCUUAUUAAGUAUCUUCAUAUUUAAUUU